AGAGUUUGAUCCUGGCUCAGGAUGAACGCUAGCGGCAGGCCUAAUACAUGCAAGUCGAACGGCAGCGCGGGUAGCAAUACCUGGCGGCGAGUGGCGCACGGGUGCGUAACACGUAUGCAACCUACCUAUAACUGGGAAAUAGCUCGGAGAAAUUCGAAUUAAUGUCCCAUAGGAUCUUAGAGUGGCAUCACUUAGAGAUU
rnacentral:rRNA from 1 species